rnacentral:tRNA from 1 species
CGGGAUGUGGCGCAGCUUGGUCAGCGCACCGGCCUUGGGUGCCGGGGGUCGUGGGUUCGAAUCCCGCCAUCCCGAC